ACUCCUACGGGAGGCAGCAGUAGGGAAUCUUCCACAAUGGACGAAAGUCUGAUGGAGCAACGCCGCGUGAACGAUGAAGGCUUCGGUCGUAAAGUUCUGUUGUAAGGGAAGAACAAGUGCCGCAGGCAAUGGCGGCACCUUGACGGUACCUUGCGAGAAAGCCACGGCUAACUACGUGCCAGCAGCCGCGGUAAUACGUAGGUGGCAAGCGUUGUCCGGAAUUAUUGGGCGUAAAGCGCGCGCAGGCGGCCUCUUAAGUCUGAUGUGAAAGCCCCGGCGUCAACCGGGGAGGGGGCCGAUUGGAAACUAGGGAGGCGUUGAGUAUAGGAGAGAAGAGUGGAAUUCCACGUGUAGCGGUGAAAUAGCGUAGAGAUGUGGAGGAACACCAGUGGCGAAGGCGACUCUUUGGUCCUAUAACUGACGCUGAGGCGCGAAAGCGUGGGGAGCAAACAGGAUUAGAUACCCUGGUAGGAUAGCC
rnacentral:rRNA from 1 species